rnacentral:rRNA from 1 species
GAUGAACGCUAGCGGCAGGCCUAACACAUGCAAGUCGAGGGAGAAGCCCUUUCGGGGGCAGAAACCGGCGCACGGGUGCGUAACGCGUAUGCAACCUACCUUUCACAGGGGGAUAGCCCGAAGAAAUUUGGAUUAAUACCCCAUAAUAUUAUUGGAUGGCAUCAUUUGAUAAUUAAAACUGCGGUGGUGAAAGAUGGACAUGCGUCCUAUUAGCUAGUUGGAGUGGUAACGGCACCCCAAGGCUACGAUAGGUAGGGGUCCUGAGAGGGAGAUCCCCCACACUGGUACUGAGACAGGGACCAGACUCCUACGGGAGGCAGCAGUGAGGAAUAUUGGUCAAUGGUCGGAAGACUGAACCAGCCAUGCCGCGUGCAGGAAGAAUGCCUUAUGGGUUGUAAACUGCUUUUAUAUGGGAAGAAUAAGGUGUACGUGUACAUUGAUGACGGUACCAUAUGAAUAAGCAUCGGCUAACUCCGUG